UGAUUCCCCUCAAAGCCCUGGGCCAGA
rnacentral:piRNA from 1 species